AAUGGGCGCAAGCCUGAUCCAGCCAUGCCGCGUGAGUGAUGAAGGCCUUAGGGUCGUAAAGCUCUUUCGCCAGAGAUGUUAAUGACAGUAUCUGGUAAAGAAACCCCGGCUAACUCCGUGCCAGCAGCCGCGGUAAUACGGAGGGGGUUAGCGUUGUUCGGAAUUACUGGGCGUAAAGCGCACGUAGGCGGACUGGAAAGUUGGGGGUGAAAUCCCGGGGCUCAACCCCGGAACUGCCUCCAAAACUAUCAGUCAAGAGUUCGAGAGGGGUGAGUGGAAUUCCGAGUGUAGAGGUGAAAUUCGUAGAUAUUCGGAGGAACACCAGUGGCGAAGGCGGCUCACUGGCUCGAUACUGACGCUGAGGUGCGAAAGUGUGGGGAGCAAACAGGAUU
rnacentral:rRNA from 1 species